rnacentral:rRNA from 1 species
UACAGAGGUCUCAAGCGUUGUUCGGAUUCAUUGGGCGUAAAGGGCGCGUAGGCGGCCAACUAAGUCGGACGUGAAAUCCCCGGGCUCAACCCGGGAACUGCGUCCGAUACUGGAUGGCUUGAAUCCGGGAGAGGGAUGUGGAAUUCCAGGUGUAGCGGUGAAAUGCGUAGAUAUCUGGAGGAACACCGGUGGCGAAGGCGGCAUCCUGGACCGGUAUUGACGCUGAGGCGCGAAAGCCAGGGGAGCAAACGGG